rnacentral:rRNA from 1 species
AGAGUUUGAUCCUGGCUCAGAUUGAACGCUGGCGGUAUGCUUAACACAUGCAAGUCGAACGGUAACAGGAGAGAGCUUGCUCUCUUGCUGACGAGUGGCGGACGGGUGAGUAACGCGUAGGAAUCUGCCUAGUAGUGGGGGACAACUCGGGGAAACUCGAGCUAAUACCGCAUACGCCCUACGGGGGAAAGCGGGGGAUCUUCGGACCUCGCGCUACUAGAUGAGCCUGCGUUGGAUUAGCUUGUUGGUGAGGUAAUGGCUCACCAAGGCGACGAUCCAUAGCUGGUCUGAGAGGACGAUCAGCCACACUGGGACUGAGACACGGCCCAGACUCCUACGGGAGGCAGCAGUGGGGAAUAUUGGACAAUGGGGGCAACCCUGAUCCAAUACCGCGUGUGUGAAGAAGGCCUGCGGGUUGUAAAGCACUUUCAAUUGGGAAGAAAAGCCUGGGGAUAAUACCCCCGAGUCUUGACGUUACCUUUAGAAGAAGCACCGGCUAACUCCGUGCCAGCAGCCGCGGUAACACGGAGGGUGCAAGCGUUAAUCGGAAUUACUGGGCGUAAAGCGCGCGUAGGUGGUUUAGUAAGUCAGAUGUGAAAGCCCUGGGCUCAACCUGGGAACUGCAUUUGAUACUGCUUGACUAGAGUAUGGUAGAGGGAAGUGGAAUUCCGGGUGUAGCGGUGAAAUGCGUAGAUAUCCGGAGGAACAUCAGUGGCGAAGGCGACUUCCUGGACCAAUACUGACACUGAGGUGCGAAAGCGUGGGUAGCAAACAGGAUUAGAUACCCUGGUAGUCCACGCCGUAAACGAUGUCAACUAGCCGUUGGACUCAUUAUAAGGGUUUAGUGGCGAAGCUAACGCGAUAAGUUGACCGCCUGGGGAGUACGGCCGCAAGGUUAAAACUCAAAGGAAUUGACGGGGGCCCGCACAAGCGGUGGAGCAUGUGGUUUAAUUCGAUGCAACGCGAAGAACCUUACCAGCCCUUGACAUCCUCGGAACUUACUAGAGAUAGUUUGGUGCCUUCGGGAGCCGAGUGACAGGUGCUGCAUGGCUGUCGUCAGCUCGUGUCGUGAGAUGUUGGGUUAAGUCCCGUAACGAGCGCAACCCUUGUCCUUAGUUGCCAGCACAUAAUGGUGGGAACUCUAGGGAGACUGCCGGUGACAAACCGGAGGAAGGUGGGGAUGACGUCAAGUCAUCAUGGCCCUUAUGGGCUGGGCUACACACGUGCUACAAUGGCCGGUACAGAGGGCAGCCAACCCGCGAGGGGGAGCCAAUCUCAGAAAACCGGUCGUAGUCCGGAUUGCAGUCUGCAACUCGACUGCAUGAAGUCGGAAUCGCUAGUAAUCGCGAAUCAGCAUGUCGCGGUGAAUACGUUCCCGGGCCUUGUACACACCGCCCGUCACACCAUGGGAGUGGGUUGCAAAAGAAGUAGGUAGCUUAACCUUCGGGAGGGCGCUUACCACUUUGUGAUUCAUGACUGGGGUGAAGUCGAACAAGGUA